GACGAACGCUGGCGGCGUGCUUAACACAUGCAAGUCGAACGGAAAGGCCCUGCUUUUGUGGGGUGCUCGAGUGGCGAACGGGUGAGUAACACGUGAGUAACCUGCCCUUGACUUUGGGAUAACUUCAGGAAACUGGGGCUAAUACCGGAUAGGAGCUCCUGCUGCAUGGUGGGGGUUGGAAAGUUUCGGCGGUUGGGGAUGGACUCGCGGCUUAUCAGCUUGUUGGUGGGGUAGUGGCUUACCAAGGCUUUGACGGGUAGCCGGCCUGAGAGGGUGACCGGCCACCUUGGGACUGAGAAACGGACCAUACUCCUACCGGUGGAAUCGGUGGGGAUUCUUGCAUAAUGGGCGAAAGCCUGAUGCAGCAAUGCCGGGUGCGGGAUGACGGCCUUCGGGUUGUAAACCGCUUUCGCCUGUGACGAAGCGUGAGGGACGGGAAUGGGUAAAGAAGCACCGGCUAACUACGUG
rnacentral:rRNA from 1 species